GAUGAACGCUGGCGGCGUGCCUAAUACAUGCAAGUCGAGCGAACAGAUGAGGAGCUUGCUCCUCUGACGUUAGCGGCGGACGGGUGAGUAACACGUGGAUAACCUACCUAUAAGACUGGGAUAACUUCGGGAAACCGGAGCUAAUACCGGAUAAUAUAUUGAACCGCAUGGUUCAAUAGUGAAAGACGGUUUUGCUGUCACUUAUAGAUGGAUCCGCGCCGCAUUAGCUAGUUGGUAAGGUAACGGCUUACCAAGGCAACGAUGCGUAGCCGACCUGAGAGGGUGAUCGGCCACACAGGAACUGAGACACGGUCCAGACUCCUACGGGAGGCAGCAGUAGGGAAUCUUCCGCAAUGGGCGAAAGCCUGACGGAGCAACGCCGCGUGAGUGAUGAAGGUCUUCGGAUCGUAAAACUCUGUUAUUAGGGAAGAACAAAUGUGUAAGUAACUAUGCACGUCUUGACGGUACCUAAUCAGAAAGCCACGGCUAACUACGUG
rnacentral:rRNA from 1 species